rnacentral:RNase_P_RNA from 1 species
CAGGUCGGUCGGACGGUCGCGGCCCUGAGCUUAGGCGAAGGGUCGAGGAAAGUCCGCACUCCACAGAGCGCGGUGCCGGGGAAACCCCGGGGCGGGGCAACCUGCCGGACAGGGCCACAGAAAAGAAGUCGCCACCCCCAGCCUCAACCCUCCCCCAAACCCUUUGGAUUUGGGGGAGGGCAGGGAGGGGGCGGUCAGAGUGAAAAGGCGGUGUAAGAGACCACCGGCGUCCGCAGCAAUGCGGGCGGCCUGGCAACCCCCACCGGGAGCAAGGUCAAGCAGGGAUGAGAGGCUGCUCGCCUCGUUACCAGUCCCGGGUAGACUGCCCAGAUAGAUGGCCGUCCAGGCGCGCAAGCGCUGGACAGAAUGCGGCUUAUAGACCGGCCUGAGGC